GGAUGGGGAUGCGUCUGAUUAGAUAGUAGGCGGGGUAACGGCCCACCUAGUCUAAGAUCAGUAGGGGGUUAUGAGAGGAAGGUCCCCCACAUUGGAACUGAGACACGGUCCAAACUCCUACGGGAGGCAGCAGUGAGGAAUAUUGGUCAAUGGGCGAGAGCCUGAACCAGCCAAGUAGCGUGCAGGAUGACGGCCCUAUGGGUUGUAAACUGCUUUUAUGCGGGGAUAAAGUUCACUACGUGUAGUGUUUUGUAGGUACCGCAUGAAUAAGGACCGGCUAAUUCCGUGCCAGCAGCCGCGGUAAUACGGAAGGUCCGGGCGUUAUCCGGAUUUAUUGGGUUUAAAGGGAGCGCAGGCCGGAGGUCAAGCGUGACGUGAAAUGUAGCCGCUCAACGGCUGAACUGCGUCGCGAACUGGCUUUCUUGAGUGAGUUCGAUGUGGGCGGAAUUCGUGGUGUAGCGGUGAAAUGCUUAGAUAUCACGAAGAACUCCGAUUGCGAAGGGCAGCCCACAAGGCCUUUACUGACGCUAAAGCUCGAAGGUGCGGGUAUCGAACAGGAUUAGAUACCCUGGUAGUCCGCACGGUAAACGAUGGAUGCCCGCUGUUUGCGAUAUACUGUGAGCGGCCAAGAGAAAUCGUUAAGCAUCCCACCUGGGGAGUACGCCGGCAACGGUGAAACUCAAAGGAAUUGACGGGGGCCCGCACAAGCGGAGGAACAUGUGGUUUAAUUCGAUGAUACGCGAGGAACCUUACCCGGGCUUGAACUGCAGCGGAAGGAUACAGAGAUGUUGACGCCCUUCGGGGCCGCUGUGGAGGUGCUGCAUGGUUGUCGUCAGCUCGUGCCGUGAGGUGUCGGCUUAAGUGCCAUAACGAGCGCAACCCUUUUCUUCAGUUGCCAUCAGGUCAUGCUGGGCACUCUGGAGACACUGCCACCGUAAGGUGUGAGGAAGGUGGGGAUGACGUCAAAUCAGCACGGCCCUUACGUCCGGGGCUACACACGUGUUACAAUGGGUGGUACAGAGAGUCGGUCGUCUGCAAAUGCGAUCCAAUCCUUAAAGCCAUCCUCAGUUCGGAUUGGGGUCUGCAACCCGACCCCAUGAAGCUGGAUUCGCUAGUAAUCGCGCAUCAGCCAUGGCGCGGUGAAUACGUUCCCGGGCCUUGUACUCACCGCCCGUCAAG
rnacentral:rRNA from 1 species